GUGUUGACAGAUUGGAUAUGUAGCGGACUGCAAAUCCGUGCAACCCGGUUCGAUUCCGGGAUACGCCUCUAUAA
rnacentral:tRNA from 3 species